rnacentral:rRNA from 1 species
UGCUCUUCUUGGAUGAGUUGCGAACGGGUGAGUAACGCGUAGGUAACCUGCCUUGUAGCGGGGGAUAACUAUUGGAAACGAUAGCUAAUACCGCAUAACAAUGGAUGACCCAUGUCAUUUAUUUGAAAGGGGCAAAUGCUCCACUACAAGAUGGACCUGCGUUGUAUUAGCUAGUAGGUGAGGUAACGGCUCACCUAGGCGACGAUACAUAGCCGACCUGAGAGGGUGAUCGGCCACACUGGGACUGAGACACGGCCCAGACUCCUACGGGAGGCAGCAGUAGGGAAUCUUCGGCAAUGGGGGCAACCCUGACCGAGCAACGCCGCGUGAGUGAAGAAGGUUUUCGGAUCGUAAAGCUCUGUUGUAAGUCAAGAACGAGUGUGAGAGUGGAAAGUUCACACUGUGACGGUAGCUUACCAGAAAGGGACGGCUAACUACGUGCCAGCAGCCGCGGUAAUACGUAGGUCCCGAGCGUUGUCCGGAUUUAUUGGGCGUAAAGCGAGCGCAGGCGGUUUGAUAAGUCUGAAGUUAAAGGCUGUGGCUCAACCAUAGUUCGCUUUGGAAACUGUCAAACUUGAGUGCAGAAGGGGAGAGUGGAAUUCCAUGUGUAGCGGUGAAAUGCGUAGAUAUAUGGAGGAACACCGGUGGCGAAAGCGGC